UCGCUACCGACGGCCUUAUCCAGUUAUGC
rnacentral:piRNA from 1 species